rnacentral:rRNA from 1 species
UGCCCACUGAUUUUAAUUAAAGGGCUGCAGUAUAUUGACUGUACAAAGGUAGCAUAAUCAUUAGUCAUUUAAUUGAUGACUUGUAUGAAAGAUUGGAUGAAGUAUAAACUGUCUCUAUUAUAUAUUAAAAAUAAAAUUUAAUUUUUAAAUUAAAAAGUUUAAAUAAAUUAAAAAGACGAGAAGACCCUAUAGAGUUUUAUUUAAUGUUAAAUUAUGGUUAUUUAUAUAAUAAAAAUCUUUAAUUUUAUAUUAAAUUUUAUUGGGGUGAUAGAAAAAUAUAAUUAACUUUUUUUAAUUUUUAAACAUUAAUAAAUGAUUAAAUGAUCCAAUUUUAUUGAUUAUAAGAAAAAGUUACCUUAGGGAUAACAGCGUAAUUUAUUUUUUUAGUUCGUAUAAAAAAAUGAGUUUGCGACCUCGAUGUUGGAUUAAGAUAAAAAUUAAAUGCAAAAGUUUAAAUUUUUUGA